GUACACACCGCCCGUCGCCACUACCGAUUGAAUGGCUUAGUGAGGCCUUUGGAUUGCGGGACGCAGUGGGAGAGAUCCUGCUGCGUGGACUGUGAGAAAUUGGACAAACUUGGUCAUUUAGAGGAAAUAAAAGUCGUAACAAGGUUUCCGUAGGUGAACCUGCAGAAGGAUCA
rnacentral:rRNA from 1 species